rnacentral:rRNA from 1 species
UGCAAGUCGAGCGGGCGUAGCAAUACGUCAGCGGCAGACGGGUGAGUAACGCGUGGGAACGUACCUUUUGGUUCGGAACAACACAGGGAAACUUGUGCUAAUACCGGAUAAGCCCUUACGGGGAAAGAUUUAUCGCCGAAAGAUCGGCCCGCGUCUGAUUAGCUAGUUGGUGAGGUAAUGGCUCACCAAGGCGACGAUCAGUAGCUGGUCUGAGAGGAUGAUCAGCCACAUUGGGACUGAGACACGGCCCAAACUCCUACGGGAGGCAGCAGUGGGGAAUAUUGGACAAUGGGGGCAACCCUGAUCCAGCCAUGCCGCGUGAGUGAUGAAGGCCCUAGGGUUGUAAAGCUCUUUUGUGCGGGAAGAUAAUGACGGUACCGCAAGAAUAAGCCCCGGCUAACUUCGUGCCAGCAGCCGCGGUAAUACGAAGGGGGCUAGCGUUGCUCGGAAUCACUGGGCGUAAAGGGUGCGUAGGCGGGUCUUUAAGUCAGGGGUGAAAUCCUGGAGCUCAACUCCAGAACUGCCUUUGAUACUGAAGAUCUUGAGUUCGGGAGAGGUGAGUGGAACUGCGAGUGUAGAGGUGAAAUUCGUAGAUAUUCGCAAGAACACCAGUGGCGAAGGCGGCU